CGCCUUCCGUUUUUUCUCGACGCUUUCUGUAGUCGAUGCUUGUCUAGGCGUCUUAAUGCGUCGCGAAGACAUGUGCUUGGCACGUGUAAAAUUCAGUUUACUCUUAAAUUAGAAUUAGAAUUAGCCCUUUCUAACUUCAAACUGCUUCCUUCGUACCCCGUACACCAUAACUCUCAAACCCUAAGAUAUCCCAUAUUCGACCAUCUCCCACAUCCACUGCGCUAAUUCCUUCAGGUUAUUUGUUUCCUCUGAAUUUUGGAUGAUCUUGCUAUUCCAGUUCGUGAUUCCGAUUUGGUUUUCUUUCCGCUUGUCACGAAGGAUGGAGGUUUGAAAGAAGAUUGGAGGGGUUUUUUCAGGGAUUUGAUGACUGGGUUUACCCGGCUAAGAGAGAAAAGUUGAACGUGUUGAACUGCUCGUGAUGAGGGGCCAAGACAGAUAGUGCAAAAAAUUGAUGAUGAAGAGUGUGAUAAUAACCAUUGAUGAGAUCGCAAAUGACAAUGUGAAGGUCGUCCAACGUGAUAAGGUGCAAAAGAAAAAUGAAGGCCAAGUCACUUGAGCUUUAUAUCAACUACUACCAUCGAUCUUCUAUAUAGAGUAUAUAGUACAUCCUAGCUAGUUAGUUUUUCUAGGUUUUAGUUUUUCUUGGGUUUGAUUUAUAAUGUUGUUUUGGACUAUUUGGUUAGGAUUUCGGUUAGUGAUAUACAUCCGUGUAAGUUUGGAUUCUUUUUAGUAACGUACAUGUACGUACUAAGAAUUUUAACUACUUAAGUUUCUUUUAAGUUAAUUUUAUUGUUAAUUGAAGACCAA